rnacentral:siRNA from 1 species
CACAUAUCGACACAUGUGCCCUU